rnacentral:rRNA from 1 species
AUUGAACGCUGGAGGCAGGCCUAACACAUGCAAGUCGAACGAUUGGCGGACGGGUGAGUAAUGUCUGGGAAACUGCCUGAUGGAGGGGGAUAACUACUGGAAACGGUAGCUAAUACCGCCUACCAUCGGAUGUGCCCAGAGGGGAUUAGCUAGUAGGUGGGGUAAAGGCUCACCUAGGCGACGAUCCCUAGCUGGUCUGAGAGGAUGACCAGCCCAACUUGAACAGAGACACGGUCCAGAGUCCUACGGGAGUCAGCAGUGGGGAAUAUUGCACAAUGGGCGCAAGCAUGAUGCAGCCAUGCCGCGUGUAUGAAGAGGGCCUUCGGGUUGUAAAGUACUUUCAGCGGGGAGGCGUUACCCGCAGAAGGAGCACCGGCUAACACCGUGCCAGCAGCCGCGGUAAUAC